rnacentral:rRNA from 1 species
UGGGGAAUAUUGCGCAAUGGGCGAAAGCCUGACGCAGCCACGCCGCGUGAGUGAUGAAGGCCCUCGGGUCGUAAAGCUCUGUCGGGAGGGAAGAAGUUCUGACGGUACCUCCCAAGAAAGCACCGGCUAACUCCGUGCCAGCAGCCGCGGUAAUACGGAGGGUGCAAGCGUUGCUCGGAAUCACUGGGCGUAAAGCGCUCGCAGGCGGCCUGUCAAGUCAGGUGUGAAAUCCCAGGGCUCAACCCUGGAACUGCACUUGAAACUGGCAAGCUAGAGUACGAGAGAGGGGAGCGGAAUUCCUGGUGUAGAGGUGAAAUUCGUAGAUAUCAGGAGGAACACCCGUGGCGAAAGCGGCUCCCUGGCUCGAUACUGACGCUCAUGAGCGAAAGCGUGGGUAGCAAACAGG